UAGUUUCAUAAAUUUUUCUUGGUAAAGCUUGUUGAACCCAAAAUUUGCUGAGAGUUACAUGGUAAAUUGUAUUUGACUAUUUUGGCUUUAUUUAGCUCUUUGGUUUGACACUUUAGCUUAUCGAUUUUUUUAAAAAAAAAUUUAGUCAUUAAUAGUAUGUCGGCUCAUCAAAAGUGGUUUGCUAACGCAUUUUACAUUCAGAUGUUCUGGGAUGAGGAUUUAUAGAUUGAGAACUUUAAUGGGUCAAUAUUGAUAUUUUUAUGUAUUAUAUGUUUUUUAUAAUUAGUAUGUUCUGCUGGUUUAUAUAUGUGCACAGAGAAUGAGAGUGGUGAGUUUGAUUAUGUGGAUGUGAGUGAGAAAGGACCACCACACUAGAGAGAGUUAAAGGAAGAAUGGAGGAUGAGAGUGAGUUUGAUUGUUGGUUUAGCUCUUAAAUUUUGGAUCCUUUCAUUCAUGAAUGCAAGUAUCAGUAAUGUGUAUAUAUAUAUAUAUAGCACAGAAAAGAAAGUGAUGAAAUUCCAUGACUGUCUUUACCACAAAUAAAGACUAUGGAAAAGAAGAGAGAGAAGCACAAUGGGCUGCAACGCAGAGGACACUCCAUGGUCUUCAACCACCGGAAUCCACCCGAAAAAAGUAGUUACAGGGAGCUUUCAUAGAUUGCAGAACAAGCCAAGCGCCGGGCUGAGGUGGCAAGGCUUAGGGAGUUGCAUACACUCAAGGGUCAUGUUGAGUCAGUGGUGAAGCUGAAAGGUACCUUUCCUAGCACACUCUCACUCUCACCAGUCCCAUUUAUUGAGAGAAAUUUUCAAGACUAAUGCAUGUUCAACUUACGGGACUGCAUGACAAAACCCAUACAUUUAAGGGUGACUCCAUUUAUUGAUUUUGUUGCUUCUAGGUAAGUUCACGGUAGAAGGUAACAAGUAGCACCUUAGGAAUAUGUGAGACUGUUGAAACAAGUUUGCUUUAACAGCAUAGGGCAAAGGAAGUAGUACAAAUUCUUACUUUGUAAAGACUAUUGGUAACGAGGGUGAGUACAAUGACAAGAAGAAGAAAUAUAUGUUGUAUGACAAUGAAUUUAGUAUUUUAUUUUAUUUGUAAUUUUUAUUAGAGUAAAUGAUUCUUUUUUGAGUGUUUAAUUAUUUACUUUGUAAAUCUAGUUAUAUAUUUUUUAAAGCCAA